CGGGGGGGGCAAGCGUUGUUCGGAAUUACUGGGCGUAAAGGGUGCGUAGGCGGCUCUCUAAGUCGGAUGUGAAAACUCUGGGCUCAACCCAGAGCCUGCAUCCGAAACUGGAGGGCUAGGGUUCUGGAGGGGAAAGCGGAAUUCCUGGUGUAGCGGUGAAAUGCGUAGAUAUCAGGAGGAACACCGGUGGCGAAGGCGGCUUUCUGGACAGAUACCGACGCUGAGGCACGAAAGCUAGGGGAGCAAAACAGGAUUAGAUACCCUGGUAGUCCUAGCCCUAAACUAUGGAUACUUGCUGUGGGGGGGAUUGAAGCCCCUUGUGGCGAAGCUAACGCAUUAAGUAUCCCGCCUGGGGAGUACGGUCGCAAGGCUG
rnacentral:rRNA from 1 species